AGCAGCCGCGGUAAUUCCAGCUCCAAUAGCGUAUAUUAAAGUUGUUGCAGUUAAAAAGCUCGUAGUUGAAUUUCGGGGUUAGUAGGUUGGUCAUGCCUCUGGUAUGUACUGGUCUCACUGAUUCCUCCUUCCUGAUGAACCUUAAUGCCAUUAAUUUGGUGUUUUGGGGAAUUUGGACUGUUACUUUGAAAAAAUUAGAGUGUUUAAAGCAAGCUAACGCUUGAAUACAUUAGCAUGGAAUAAUGAAAUAGGACGUUCGAUCCUAUUUUGUUGGUUUCUAGGAUUGACGUAAUGAUUAAUAGGGAUAGUUGGGGGCAUUAGUAUUCAAUUGUCAGAGGUGAAAUUCUUGGAUUUAUUGAAGACUAACUACUGCGAAAGCAUUUGCCAAGGAUGUUUUCAUUAAUCAAGAACGAACGUUAGGGGAUCGAAGACGAUCAGAUACCGUCGUAGUCUUAACCAUAAACUAUGCCGACUAGGGAUCGGAUGAUGUUAAUUUUUUAAUGACUCA
rnacentral:rRNA from 1 species